AGAAGAAAGUGCGGCGAAUGAUCCGUUACACGCGGAGAACAAACGGAGAAAAUGAAAACAAAGAAGAGUCAACUAAUUUUAGAUAUGAGAACUCGGCAUAUCAAUCUGACGAACAUAAUCCAUAUGACGAACUGGGAAACGAAGAUAGUAGCGGAUAUGUUUUGCCUAGGAAUUUCAAUUCUACAUCAAAUGUUGCAGAAGAAGAUGGUGCAGUAAAACAGCAAAAUACAUCUAAGAGUUCC